rnacentral:rRNA from 1 species
UACGGAGGAUCCAAGCGUUAUCCGGAUUUAUUGGGUUUAAAGGGUGCGUAGGCGGUCUAUUAAGUCAGUGCUGAAAUAUCCCGGCUUAACCGGGAGGGUGGCAUUGAUACUGAUGGACUUGAGUAAAGUUGAGGUUGGCGGAAUUGACGGUGUAGCGGUGAAAUGCUUAGAUAUCGUCAAGAACACCUAUUGCGAAGGCAGCUAACUAGCUAAACUGACGCUGAGGCACGAAAGUGUGGGGAUCAAACAGG